AGGCAGCGGCAGAGACGCCGAGUUUCUCUUGAAGGUAGUCAACAAGGGUGCGGGCUUCCUCGAGGGUUAAGUUGGAGAUUUCGGUGCCAAGUUUUUCGAUUUUUUCGGGGGCGGCCGUGGCGCGGAGGGCGGUGGAACGGUGGGUGAGGUUAGGAGGAGUGAGGGAACGGAGAGGGAAUUGGAGGGAAGGGGCUUUGAAAUGGGAAGGGUGCGUAGGAUUAGAGGAAGUGGGUAAGCGGAGAGAAAGUGUUGAGAGAGCUGAAGAAGCCAUUUUUCUUCUUCUUUGAAUUGCAGAGAGGAUUAGGAUAAGGCAAGGCGAGGCAAAUAGAGAGGGAAUGAGCGUAAAUAAUAAUAUAGCGAAA
rnacentral:lncRNA from 1 species